GACGAACGCUGGCGGCGUGCCUAAUACAUGCAAGUAGAACGCUGAAGGAGGAGCUUGCUCUUCUGGAUGAGUUGCGAACGGGUGAGUAACGCGUAGGUAACCUGCCUGGUAGCGGGGGAUAACUAUUGGAAACGAUAGCUAAUACCGCAUAAGAGUAGAUGUUGCAUGACAUUUGCUUAAAAGGUGCAAUUGCAUCACUACCAGAUGGACCUGCGUUGUAUUAGCUAGUUGGUGGGGUAACGGCUCACCAAGGCGACGAUACAUAGCCGACCUGAGAGGGGGUUCGGCCACACUGGGACUGAGACACGGCCCAGACUCCUACGGGAGGCAGCAGUAGGGAAUCUUCGGCAAUGGACGGAAGUCUGACCGAGCAACGCCGCGUGAGUGAAGAAGGUUUUCGGAUCGUAAAGCUCUGUUGUAAGAGAAGAACGAGUGUGAGAGUGGAAAGUUCACACUGUGACGGUAUCUUACCAGAAAGGGACGGCUAACUACGUG
rnacentral:rRNA from 1 species